rnacentral:rRNA from 1 species
GAUGAACGCUGGCGGCGUGCCUAAUACAUGCAAGUCGAGCGGACGGACGAGAAGCUUGCUUCUCUGUUGUUAGCGGCGGACGGGUGAGUAACACGUGGAUAACCUACCUAUAAGACUGGGAUAACUUCGGGAAACCGGCUCUAAUACCGGAUGAUAUUUUGAACCGCAUGGUUCAAUAGUGAAAGACGGUCUUGCUGUCACUUAUAGAUGGAUCCCCGCUGCAUUAGCUAGUUGGUAAGGUAACGGGUUACCAAGGCAACGAUGCAUAGCCGACCUGAUAGGGUGAUCGGCCACACUGGAACUGAGACACGGUCAAGACUACUACGGGAGGCAGCAGUAGGGAAUGGUCCGCAAUGGGCGAAAGCCUUACGGAGCAACGCCACGUGAGUGGUGAAGGUCUUCGGAUCGUAAAACUCUGUUAUUAGGGAAGAACAUAUGUGUAAGUAACUGUGCACAUCUUGACGGUACCUAAUCAGAAAGCCACGGCUAACUACGUG